CCUUUUUUUCCAAGCCAUGUAAGAUAGUUGAUGUGUCAGGUCAUGUGCACUGUGAAUGGAUGUCUCAAGGUUUUUAAAGAGAUCUGCAUCACUUUGUAGCUCUGCUGAGGAAGUCAUCGGCAAGUGAGUAUUUGAAAGGUGGCAGAGAGAGACGCGCAGCCAAAUGCUUCCCCAGAGGCUGCAGUAUGGAGAGCAGUGAGUCAGAAGAAGUUCCUGAGGCCGAGUCCGACUACGACGACAACUCAAACAUGGCUUUCACUGGUGGGGCACUAAACGGAAUGAAAUUGGGUGCUGACAGCGGGGCUGAGGAUGAGGGCUCAGGCAUGUAGCCCUCAGGCAGAUACCCGUAGGGAAAGCUACCCCCAGAGACAGCCUGGUGGUGUGGUGCGGUGCAAGAGGAGUCAAGGUCUGGAAUACUACUCUACUGACCAGACACAAGGGCAGACCCAGAAUCCCUUUAUGUACGAAUAGCAAUAGGAUGGUAUUUAAAGGCAUCCAGUUCAUUCAACUAAAUGAAGUUACCCAAAUAUUUAGACAUUAUAGAUAUCUUAGGUAGACCUUAUUGAACAUUGGAUUUUUAUUUUUAUUUUUUAUUUUUUAGAAAAUUUGAAAUGUGACAGAUGAUCCAGUGAUAGCAACAAUGUCAGUGACUGUUAGUGAACAAGUCCUGAGUAUCAGAGCUGGCUUUAAAUGUCAGAAAUGUCAAGAGAAAUUCAAUCAGGCGUUUUAGGCGCCGCAUUCCUUUUUUGCUUCUCUGCCAACUGCCAGUAAAGUACAGAGAUUAAAGACUUCAAAUCCUUCAGAUAUGGAUUUCUAUCCCCAUUGAACUUCUAUAGCUUUUCAUCAAAGCAGUUCAUCAAUGGUGCUAAGUUGUGUGUGCCUACAAUUAUCAUGCAUAACUAAAAAAGGGGGAGAAAAGAAAAAAAAACACUUUGAUUAAUUUUGGUUUAGAUUGAGCCAAUGAAAAGACAUGAACCACUGCUAUAUGAGACAUGUCACUUGCUAUAUCAGUGUAGGCUGUGUAACUACUGUGAAUGUUAUGUUUAAUUAACAUAGUUAAUUAAUCAAAUUAAUGACAUGUAUUACCAUUUAUAUCGAACUUUUAUGUAUGAAUAACAUGUAU